UACGGAGGAGGCAAGCGUUAUCCGGAAUUAUUGGGCGUAAAGCGUCCGCAGGUGGCACUUCAAGUCUGUCGUCAAAGACUGGGGCUUAACCCUGGAAAGGCGGUGGAAACUGCGGCGCUAGAGUGCGGUAGGGGUAGAGGGAACUCCCGGUGUAGCGGUGAAAUGCGUAGAGAUCGGGAAGAACAUCGGUGGCGAAAGCGCUCUACUGGACCGCAACUGACACUCAGGGACGAAAGCUAGGGGAGCGAAUGGG
rnacentral:rRNA from 1 species